AAAGGCCCCUAGCUCUGUUUGUAUUCUACUAAGUCCCGGCGGUUAGUGUGCAUUAAGUUUUGCGUUAAACCUUAAACUCCCUACUGAAUAGGUGUGUAGCCCAAAUGAUCUAGUUCACGACGAAGAAAACGCCACGUUUGAUCGAAGUGCAACGACAGUGCAAUAUCCUUACACGGUCUCAAAGCGGCGACAGACUAUGCCCCGUUCGUGCACCGCUUUGCAGCUGGUUUCAAGGGUGCCAUAUGCGAAGCCUUUGACAAGUGAGCAACUAAGUAACCCACAUUACCUUUAUCAACAUCGUGACCGUCUUGAAGACAAAUUUGAAAGUUCAACAUGCGGGCAGCCGACUCUUACCUCCACGGCGAACAUUAAGGAUGAAAAUUAUACGCGAAUGCUAAGGCAAAAGUAGUGCUCACCGUGCACCCGUAGCGGAGUGCGAGGCCUUGCAACGUCUCGCCCUCAACGAUGCGAUGCUCGAACACCGCCGGAGACGGCGGCUUUCGAGUCGCGAAUUUGUUUCUGUCACCGUUAUCCCUGGAACCGUUCUGGCCUCCACGAAGUCUGAGUUCAGUCGCGUCAUCCCAAGAGCCGACUUCAUCGGAAGCUACGUCGUCCCCGUCGGCGAAAAUAAAA